UCUCCCACCCUGUCAGAAAUCCUUCAUUCAUGGAAUUUCAUAGGUACAGUUUCCAUUGCUCAAUGUUCAGUUUCUGUUUCCUGCUUUCCCCUUCAACGUACAAAAAAGACAAAUACUAUUGCUGAGAAUGCCGUGGAGGGUCUCGCUCUGUGACCUCUCGCCAUGCCCAUGCUUUGAUCAGUGGGAAUCCGCAUAGAUCAUUCUCUUGGACUGACCAAACUGUGAGACACCACUUCAGGUUGGUGGUAAGUCCAAGGAUGAGGUCCAACACCACAUUAGCUGAAUCAUUUGUGUUUUCAGGAUUAUGCCUUCGGCAGUUUCUUCUCUCCAAAAAUAGGUAUUCUGUGUCGACUUGAAUGUUCAGGUAUUUUGUUCUGCCUUUGCACAUGAGUUCAAGCUGACUCUGAGUUUG
rnacentral:lncRNA from 1 species